rnacentral:misc_RNA from 1 species
GAUGAAGAACGUAGCGAAAUGCGAUAAGUAAUGUGAAUUGCAGAAUUCAGUGAAUCAUCGAAUCUUUGAACGCACCUUGCGCCCUUUGGCUAUUCCGAAGGGCAUGCCUGUUUGAGUAUCAUGAACACCUCAACUCUCAUGGUUUGCCAUGAUGAGCUUGGACUCUGGGGGUCUUGCUGGCUUAUGGUCAGCUCCUCUUAAAUGAAUCAGCUUUCCAGUGUUUGGUGGCAUCACAGGUGUGAUAACUAUCUACGCUUGUGGUGUCCUCCCAGGUAACCUUCAGCAAUGGAGGUUGCUGGAGCUAAUAAAUGCACAUCUCUCAUUGUGGAGCUGGCCUUUUAGAUGUUUGAUCUCAAAUCAGGUAGGACUACCCGCUGAACUUAAGCAUAUCAAUAAGCGGAGGA